AUGUCUGAAAAACACGGAGGUUACCAAGGUCUGGAGGACUCCAAUCGGCAGGCCAUGUCCCAACCCAUGCAGCAAAUGCAGCCCCCUCCAUACCUUCCCUCCCAGGACCCUAACAUGGGCCAACAACACCCCAACAUGCAGCACCCCAACAUGCAGCACCCCAACAUGCAGCACCCCAACAUGCAGCACCCCAACAUGCAGCACCCCAACAUGCAGCACCCCAACAUGCAGCACCCCAACAUGGGCCCUCCGCCCGGCUGUGGCCUCCAGCCCAACUACCCCCCUCCACCCCCGCCCCCUGGCUCCGAUGGCUACCAGGAGACCCAGUUCCACAAUGGCUCCUACGGACACCCAGGGGCCCCACAGGGCUACACAGUCCAGACCCAGGGCCCGGGAGGGGGGGUCCCACACGCCCCUGUAGGGUAUUUUCAACCAGGAUACCCUCUCCAGCUGCAGCCCUGCACAGCCUAUGUUCCUGUCUACCCCAUGGCGUCGGUGAGUCAGUGUAUUCAUCUACGAUAG
rnacentral:lncRNA from 8 species